CCUUUCCCUUCCUCCCCCUCCUCCCCACCUCUCCCACUCCCCUGGCCUGUCCCCUCUCCUCCCCCUGCUCCCCUGGCAUAACCAGAGAACUCUAGAGACCACACUGAGGUGUGAGCCCAGUUCUGUCGCUUCCCAGCUCUGAGAUCUUGAUCAAGUAACUUCACCUCUCUGCCCUCCUUUCCCUCGUCUGUAAAAUGCGAGUGACCAGAGUCCUAACCUGAUAGGGUGCUUGUCGGGAUGAUAGAAGCCCAGGCCUGGGAGGGGAGUAGUACUUCCCCUCUCAGCCACCCUGUGGGGCUAACCAGAGGGCGAUGAUGGGGAAGAACGUGGACACGCUCUCACCUGCCAUCCGAGCCCCUGCUCUGAGUGGCUCUAAGGGCCACACAGCACAUCAGGGGUGUCGGGGGGGGGGGUGGGGGCUGGGAAGGGGCCCCUCUGUGGCUGGGAGACCCGGGUUUCCUCAGGCUGUGGAGGGGCAGUGACGCUUUUUCCUUUCGCUUUUCUGGUUCCCAAAAGUUCCGCCUUUUGCUGCGCUGUAUUUGCGGUCGGAAAGACGAAAACAGUAAGUCGUUGCCAUUUCGGAAGAAAGUAGCGUUUGCUCAGUGCUUCUGCUUCCUGAUCUCAGCUGGAACUCGGGGACCCCGGUGGGAGGGCUUGGGUGGGGACUUCAGGCCACCCUGGAAAGUGGGGGCAGGGCCGGCAGAGGGCAGCAGGCCUGCGGGGUCCCCAUCCCCAUCUCUGGGGAACCCGAGCCUGCCACCCUGGGCCUGGGCCCGGUGGCCGGCAGGAGCGAGAGGGAAGCCCCCGCAGGGAAGGCCUGCAUUGGGCGUGGCUGCUCCUGUGCCCCCCACGCCCUCCCUCCGCAGCGGUUUUCCAGAACAUUACCACCCUCUACCCCUCUGCCUUCGAGGACUGCUUUCUCCCGUUCCCUGUCUUUUGGGGCUAAACUCCAACCCCUGGGUCAGGGUCGGGAUAUUUGACCCAACUCUCUGUUCCUGGGCACAGGUUGACCCCGAGACAGUUUGAAUGUGAGCAUUUUGAUCAGAAUUAGUCAACGGCGAUGAGUUCUCCUCCUGAAAGCACCAGAGUUCCCCAGGGAACACCAUUAAGCCGGUUUAAUCCCUUUAUCAAUUUUCCGUACAGCACCGUUAAACCAUUUGCGAUGUUUCCGUUUCCAUUUUGCUGAAAUUAUUUUCAUAGAGAUCAAUUCUUUUGCAUUUAGAAUUUCGCAGUGGAGGUUCGCUCCAUAAAUCAGUUUCUUCCCCCGUCUCAAAGUUUACUAAUUUCUUCCCCCGUCUCAAAGUUUACUAAUGUUGCCAUGGGGAAGGGCAUGGUGUCCAUCGAGGGUGGUUUUCCUGGGUUACGUCAUAGCUUGUGUUUUUCUGAGUUAAUCCGUGAGGACGUAGUGAGCAGUUUUAUGACACAGGCAGCCGGGGGGACAGAGAGCAUGGAGGAGGGGAGAGGGAAGGAACAGAGGGAGACACGGGGGGUGUCUCUGAACAGAGACAGGGCCACAGGGGGGCCGGUGGAUGGAGCCGGAGGGGCCAAAGCUCAGAGCGUCCCCUUGGCCACGGCAUCAUCACAGGGCACAGUCCUGGGAAAGAUUGUCGUCUUCCCUCCCUGCCAAUCUGAGGGCUUCCCCGGGAGACUUCUAGCUGGUACUGAUGGAGAAGAUGUGCUGCCACCUGGCACACGGGCUGGAAGGUGAGAACGAGGGGCUUCCAGCUGCCACGCUCUGCUGUGUGAACAGAGCCUACAUAGGAGGGUCAAGGAGCACAGAAGAAGAGUGGGCCAAGAGACGCCAAGAAGAGGAGCCCAAGGGCCUUAGUCAUUUCAGACCCUGGAUCCAGCUAUGCCUGAAACCAGCCCCCAAGCUGCCCUGUGACAGCAGCCAAUUAACUUCUCCAAUUUUUUUUUUUUUUCCUGAAGGUAAUUGAUUUGGGCUGAGAAUGGGGUGGGGAGCAUUCGGGACCAGCUUCUCCACCUCAUUUCUCUGCUGCCUUCUCCGUAAAAACGUGUCAAUCACAAUGACCGCACGGGGCUCUGUGAAUAACAGGGCUCACGUUUGCACAGAGCAGAGCAUCUAGAUCGUGGCAGGCGCUGGUAGUUACUCGCCACUUGAAUGUUGACAGAAAGGAUCCCCCUGGGUCUGGGGAAGGAGCCUCAGCGUGGCUUUGGUGGUCUCCCCGCUCUUAGAGGACAGGGAGCUAGGGACCUGAGACCCACCCUCGGGAGGGGAAACCUCAGGACUGAGAGGCCAAGAGGGGUCCGAGUUCCCAGCGCCCAGCACGUGCCCACAGCGGUGGGCGGGGGGGAGGGCGCAGGUGGGCAGCCCUGUGAGAUGGGCACCGGCCCCCUGGAGACCUGGUUUGGUGCUUCGAUCCUAUUCCAUGUGCUGUGUCUGCAUUUUUGGACACGUGGUGGAAGCCAGAUGAGGUGCUACCCUCCCUUCUCUUGGCGCCUCUAAUAACCACAAGUACAGCGGUCUCUGCUGUUUACCAGAGUCCAGGAUGGUGCCUUCUGUGGCAUCUCGGGCCCUGGUUCUGGCCAACGUGUUUAUUGGGAACAGAGUAGGAGCCCCAGCCAGGCUCUCCGGCAGCCGGGCCGUCCACACAGCAUUAUGCAUCCGUGGGGUGCUGCCCUACAUCCUGGGGGUGUCUGCUCAGCGGUGGCAAGGUAGCCUCUGCACGCGUGUCGAAAUCUGGGGGCGUGGGAAGCCGGGACAGGUGUUUUUUGGACCAGCAUACUCAACACUCAGACGCGAUUUUAUAUUUUGAAAACUAAAAAGCAAAACCCCAAACCCACUAUUGUUUUAAUAAAACAGAGAAAGCAAAGCUGGAAAGAUUGCCCGGGCUGCAGAGGGACCUGGGUGACAGCGCUUCCUCACAGGCGCAGGAGGGUGAUAGAUGCACAUUGGGGGCAGGGGCGCGCCACCGUGGAAAGCGGUCACCGAGCUCCGUUCCGGUCCGCCUCGCCUGGAUUAGCCCCGACCUGAAGCAGGAUCAGCGGUCCUGACCCACGUCCUCAGGCCGCAGAGUUGAAACGUGUCGGAGAAGUCGCUCCUGACCACAAAGAACACGUGUCAUGUUACAGAGAACAGGGGUGAACAGGUUGUGUAACUCACACACAUUUUCCAGGUCAUCCAAAAACGCCAGGUGGGGGUGGGGUGUGAGCCUCUCUAACGGAGCAGGGCAGAGGCCAGUGAGGGGCAGAGGAAUCCACUGCGGGUGUCCUGGGAAGGUCCAUCCUCCUUCCUUGAGUCCUGGCUGAGCCCCUGGACCUCCGGGGGCCCUCUCUGAGAAGGCCAGGAGCUCUGAUCUGUGGUCCCCAACUCAGUCCACGGAGACCAGGAAAGAGAGACAGAUCAGGUGACCUGGUCUGAGUUGCAGCUGUGUUACUCGCUAGCUGCUCGACCUCGGACAACUCACUGGACCUCAGUUUCCAUCUGUGGGAGCUGGGGUGGCAGGUCCUCCCCUGUUCCUCCGGGUCGCACCAAGGGAACCCCUGUUCUCCCUCCCCUGGAAGAGCGUAAGCAGCAAACGUAUCUCGAAGAUCGUCGACUAUAAUAACCAACAUCUGUUGAGAGCAUCCGUGGGCUUGCUGUCACUCAAACGCUUCUACAUGUGCGUCGUCAACGAAUCCUUUCCACAAUCUCCCCUGUGGGGCAGGUGCCGUUAGCAUUCUUUUUUACAGACGGGGCGACUGAAACACAGAGCUGAGACAGCAUCGAACGUUUGGGUGUGGACGGCCCGGCCCCGAGUCCGGGCUGCUGGGCGCCUCCGGUAAAAGUCCCACCAGCCGGUGGGUGAGUGACAGCAACACCCUGGUGGCCUCUGCCGGGUGUGGGUAAGAAGGGAAAAGGACAUCAAGUGGACACCUUCCAAUAUCCAGGAACUUUCUGUGGGCAUAGAACCACCAACGUUUCUCUCUCCACCUGCUUUCCUCUUCUGCUUUCUUCAGUCUUCCACGUUGGCUUUUUGAUCCAUUCGUGUUUUAUUCUACGGAGAGCAGCUCCCAGUUGAGGAAAGUGAGGCACAGAGGGGUGACCUGCCCGAGGUCCUGGGGCACCCUGCUGGUAAGAGGAGUGGGAGCUUUCUGGCUGCAAGUUGCACAGCUUUGUGGCCCUGCCAGAGUGAUUUCUAAGCUAUGGCACAUGACAAAUGUAAUGGGGAGGAAGGGGGCGGGUGCUCCUCGUUUCCGUGUUCCAGACUGAGAUUCCCCCGCUUCGGGAAAUCUGCCUGGUGGGCAGGCUGACCGGGGAGAACCAGCACAUCAAGGGCAAACGGACGCAAAGUCGGUCUGCAGGCUUAGGGACAGAACUUAGCCAGGGACCAGAGAGGGCAGUUGGGUCUUGCGUCUGAGAGGUGACAGACAUAGCCCUUGGCGGAACCCUGCUUGGCCCGAGGGUGGCAGGGCACAGUCGAAGGGGCUGGCACGGGACGCACGUGCUGAGAUCUCUCCUGCCCAUGGCUGCAGCAGCAAGCCUGCGGCCUCGGGGCCAGGUUUGUUCACUGGCUGUGAGAUCUUGGGCAAGUCCCUUAUCUGCUCUGGGGCUCAGUUUGUCCUGCGCAAAGCAGUGAUGACAGGAAACACCUCCGAGUGCUCUUG